UACGUAGGGGGCAAGCGUUAUCCGGAAUUAUUGGGCGUAAAGAGUGCGUAGGUGGUUUUGUAAGCGCGGGGUGAAAGGCAAUGGCUCAACUAUUGUAAGCCCUGCGAACUGUGAGACUUGAGUGCAGGAGAGGAAAGUGGAAUUCCUAGUGUAGCGGUGAAAUGCGUAGAUAUUAGGAGGAACACCAGUGGCGAAGGCGACUUUCUGGACUGUAACUGACACUGAGGCACGAAAGCGUGGGGAGCAAACAGGAUUAGAUACCCUGGUAGUCCACGCCGUAAACGAUGAGCACUAGGUGUCGGGGCCGCAAGGUUUCGGUGCCGCAGUUAACGCAUUAAGUGCUCCGCCUGGGGAGUACGCACGCAAGUGUGAA
rnacentral:rRNA from 1 species